rnacentral:snRNA from 1 species
AUACUUACCUGGCCUCGAGUGCCCCGUGAUCAAGAAAGCGGGUCCUCCGGACCGAGGCCUUCUCAUUGCACUCCGAGGAGAGCUGAAGUCCGCCACUUUCCAAACUGGAAUAGAUGGGGGGUGAAAUUUUUGUUAGCGGGGAGCUGCGUUCGCGCCACUCCCCA